ACAGAGGUGCCAAGCGUUAGGCGGAAUCACUGGGCUUAAAGCGCGCGUAGGCGGAUGUUUAAGUGUCUUGUGAAAUCCCACGGCUCAACCGUGGAACUGCUGGGCAUACUGGACAUCUUGAGGCACUCAGGGGCGAGCGGAACAAGUGGUGGAACGGUGAAAUGCGUAGAUAUCACUUGGAACGCCAAUGGUGAAGACAGCUCGCUGGGGGUGUCCUGACGCUGAGGCGCGAAAGCCAGGGGAGCGAACGGG
rnacentral:rRNA from 1 species